AAUGUCGUUCAAAAAAAAAAAAAGUAAGAAAAUGCAAAUUUUUGUUGAUUUUGAGAUCACUUGGCACUUGGCAGUCCGGUUAAAGAUUUAGUUAUUUGGUUACAAAAAUAUUGUAAUGAUUUAAGGGGACAAAGUAUUGUAAGUGGGAUGAAGUGAUGGACGCAAUUCAAAAUGUAACGGAGGCCAUUAAAAUUGGCCAAACUAAUUGUUGCGAACAAGAGAAACGAGUUCAGAAAGUGACGUUGAUGCUGAUGCUGCUGAAAGUGACGUUGUUGAUGCUGCUGAAAGUGAACAAGAGAAAUGCAAAAGAAACGAUGUUGAUGCUGCUGAAAGUGACGUUGAUUGAGUUGAUGGAGAUGUUGUUAACGGAGAAGCAAGCACAACAGUGAAAGGUGAGAGUUGUGUCGUUGGAAAAGUCUCAACGAUGAAGACGAUGAAUGCCAAUAACAUUGAUUGAAAAAGAGGACAAUAUCGUUAUUUCCUAAUUUAACAAGUGCUUAUUUUCAUAAGCUUAACUCAAAAAUGUCUUUUUCCUAGUUUAUGGGCCAAAAUAUGUCCAUUUUCGCAAAAGCCCCCUCGUUUUUGUUCCUUAUUGUGUGUAAGAAGUAAGAACAUAUCUAUGAAUAACAUCUUUAUAUGUG